rnacentral:rRNA from 1 species
UUAUUGAAACUUCGGUCGAUAUGAUUUAAUUCUAGUGGCGGACGGGUGAGUAACGCGUGGGUAACCUGCCUUAUACAGGGGGAUAACAGUCAGAAAUGACUGCUAAUACCGCAUAAGCGCACAGGACCGCAUGGUCCGGUGUGAAAAACUCCGGUGGUAUAAGAUGGACCCGCGUUGGAUUAGCUAGUUGGUGAGGUAACGGCCCACCAAGGCGACGAUCCAUAGCCGGCCUGAGAGGGUGAACGGCCACAUUGGGACUGAGACACGGCCCAGACUCCUACGGGAGGCAGCAGUGGGGAAUAUUGCACAAUGGGGGAAACCCUGAUGCAGCGACGCCGCGUGAAGGAAGAAGUAUCUCGGUAUGUAAACUUCUAUCAGCAGGGAAGAAAAUGACGGUACCUGACUAAGAAGCCCCGGCUAACUACGUGCCAGCAGCCGCGGUAAUACGUAGGGGGCAAGCGUUAUCCGGAUUUACUGGGUGUAAAGGGAGCGUAGACGGAUGGACAAGUCUGAUGUGAAAGGCUGGGGCUCAACCCCGGGACUGCAUUGGAAACUGCCCGUCUUGAGUGCCGGAGAGGUAAGCGGAAUUCCUAGUGUAGCGGUGAAAUGCGUAGAUAUUAGGAGGAACACCAGUGGCGAAGGCGGCUUACUGGACGGUAACUGACGUUGAG